rnacentral:tRNA from 1 species
GUAGAUGUAGUUUAAUCAAAACACUAGAUUGUGAUUCUAGAAACAGGGGUUAAAAUCUCCUCAUCCACC